GAGAGGUCCAGAAGACCUGCUAACUCUUCAAUCUGGCGAACACACCA
rnacentral:tRNA from 1 species